GACGAACGCUGGCGGCGUGCUUAACACAUGCAAGUCGAACGGAAAGGCCCUGCUUUUGUGGGGUGCUCGAGUGGCGAACGGGUGAGUAACACGUGAGUAACCUGCCCUUGACUUUGGGAUAACUUCAGGAAACUGGGGCUAAUACCGGAUAGGAGCUCCUGCUGCAUGGUGGGGGUUGGAAAGUUUCGGCGGUUGGGGAUGGACUCGCGGCUUAUCAGCUUGUUGGUGGGGUAGUGGCUUACCAAGGCUUUGACGGGUAGCCGGCCUGAGAGGGUGACCGGCCACAUUGGGACUGAGAUACGGCCCAGACUCCUACGGGAGGCAGAAGUGGGGAAUAUUGCACAAUGGGCGGAAGCCUGAUGCAGCAACGCCGCGUGCGGGAUGACGGCAUUCGGGUUGUAAACCGCUUUCGCCUGUGACGAAGCGUGAGUGACGGUAAUGGGUAAAGAAGCACCGGCUAACUACGUG
rnacentral:rRNA from 1 species